rnacentral:lncRNA from 1 species
UGAUCUUGAUGCCAUUCAAUGGUGCUUGAUGGGAAGGGGAAUCUCAAUACUGAUAAAGAGAAAUCAUCUUUUACAACAGAAUGUUGUAACCUAGCAGGCGAGCCACACCAGAAAUCCAAGGGUAAGAAAUGUGACUUAGUUUUUAGUCGUCAUUAAAGGUGCGUAUUAAUUUAUAUUUCAAAUUGAGCGUAGACAGCCCCGUGGGACGUGACAGAAACAAAUUUCUCUGGCUGUUCCUAAAACGUCAUCAACACUCACACAAAAAUUUUGUAGUCACUCAAAUGCAAUUAAUCAUAUCAUACUCCCUCAUUUUUAGAGAAAUUCAAGGACGUGACUCGAACAACCCAACAGAUUCAUUGCUAGAGGAGGGCGUGAUCACCUAUAUUUCUCAACCCCUAUGAACUACCAACCUCACAGGACAAAAGCCGCCGAGCUUCGAGAGAUGAAUCAAUCGUUACUUCUCGCCCAUAUCCUGCUUCAGCAACAAUCCGUCCUCGCCCUUCUCCUCUUUGUUAUCGUGGACAUCUCACGU